GGGGGAGCGGAGAAGAGUAAGGAGACGAAAAGGAUCGCUUGCAUAUGACCCGACUUGCCGUUCGGACUGACGUGCUUAGUAG